rnacentral:rRNA from 1 species
CACGUAGGGUGCGAGCGUUGUCCGGAAUUAUUGGGCGUAAAGAGCUCGUAGGCGGUGUGUCGCGUCGGCCGUGAAAACCUGCAGCUUAACUGUGGGCUUGCGGUCGAUACGGGCAUCACUGGAGUUCGGCAGGGGAAACUGGAAUUCCUGGUGUAGCGGUGAAAUGCGCAGAUAUCAGGAGGAACACCGGUGGCGAAGGCGGGUCUCUGGGCCGAUACUGACGCUGAGGAGCGAAAGCGUGGGGAGCGAAAGGG